AGCAGCCGCGGUAAUUCCAGCUCCAAUAGCGUAUAUUAAAGUUGUUGCAGUUAAAAAGCUCGUAGUUGAAUUUCGGAAUCAGUACGUUGGUCGUGCCUUAGGUACGUACUGGUGUUACUGGUUUCUACCUUCUGACGAACCAUCAUGUCAUUCAUUUGGUGUGGCGGGGAAUCAGGACUGUUACUUUGAAAAAAUUAGAGUGUUUAAAGCAGGCUCGCGCUUGAAUACAUUAGCAUGGAAUAAUGAAAUAGGACGUUGAUCCUAUUUUGUUGGUUUCUAGGAUUGACGUAAUGAUUAAUAGGGAUAGUUGGGGGCAUUAGUAUUCAAUUGUCAGAGGUGAAAUUCUUGGAUUUAUUGAAGACUAACUACUGCGAAAGCAUUUGCCAAGGAUGUUUUCAUUAAUCAAGAACGAAAGUUAGGGGAUCGAAGACGAUCAGAUACCGUCGUAGUCUUAACCAUAAACUAUGCCGACUAGGGAUCGGAUGAUGUUAAUUUUUAAUGACUCAUUCGGCGCCUUAAC
rnacentral:rRNA from 1 species